UGGACCGAAUGUGGAGAGAAAAAAACCAGUGCCUUUUCCCCUCGCAAGUCGCAACCCAGCGUCCUUUUUUCCUUUUCUUCCGACAGCUAGGGUUAGCGUCGCCGCCGCCCUCCCCUGUGCUCGUGCCCUCUCCUCUCCCGCCCCGAGCUCCACUGCCUCCAGCCUACGCUCGCGCUCCGUCCCUUCCUCCUCGUUGGUGCUCAAUCGGACGAGCGUGAGCUGCGGCAAACUGCAGCGGAGGGAAACGUGGAUGAGGAGAUCAAGCCAAGCCGGAGGGGACAGCUGGUGCACGAGCUCGCACUGCCCUGGCGCCGAUCUCGCGCCGGUCCUACGCCCUGCCACCCUCUCUCGGGACGCCAUGGAGAUCAACAAGGUGCGCCCCCACUCCCCUCCCUCUGUCGGGGUAUGGUAGGUUCGUACUGACCGCCUCCGGCUCGAGCAAGGAUCUGCUGCACCUCCGGCCCCUUUUGCCUGCAGACUGAGGAGAAGAGAACACAUGUAGAUAGUUCAUCAAAGUUCCUUAACUGCGGCUGAUCUUCUUCGUCAGGUGAUUGUACUGCAGAUCUAGUACAUAGAGCUUUUUUCUUCUUCUCUAAGAUACAGUAUACUGCUAAUUUUGAUGGUUUGUUGAAUUAUCUUCUUGUAAUAUAUGAGCGCCCGCAAUGGCCACCUCGGCACAAGGAACACAGGUUGCAGAGAUAGACGUGCGGGCUGCAGAGAGGGCCGCCCACGACAUGGUCGCUACCGUUCGUCCAUCGCACGGCAACGGCAGGUCGACCCCACCAUCUCUGCCCCUUUUUGAUGGCGGCUCUGGAGGACCGAGGAAUUGAGGUUGCCCCUUUCGUCUGUUCACAUCCUCUGUUAGUUUUAGAUUUUGAAGAUUUAUGCGAUGGAAUCAUGAUAUGUAACAUGUCUUCUCCUGAAGAGGUCCGCUUAUUACUCGAUGACACUGUUGCCGGAAACACGGCCAAGGUAGCUGUGCUCCUCAUGAUGGAGCAGCGCCUGGGACAUUUUCUUGGGAGGUUGAAGCCGGAAAGGGAGGAGGAGGAAGAUGGCAGCCGCCCCGCCGCCCAAGGCCGACGAGCUGCAGCGGCAUCCGCUCAAGGAGCAGCUGCCCAGCGUGUCUUUCUGCAUCACCAGCUCACCGCCAUGGCGUACCGUGCUCUGCUUCACCCCGCCUCAGGGGCCUCUUGAUUUGCUCUUUGAAAGUUUCCCUCUUACAUUCCGUGCUUGUCCUUCACUGUCCUCAGUUUUUGCUCGUACUUGUUGUUUCAUGUCCAGGCUUUCUUUCCCACUGCAUCAUGUGUGCUGAUUACUGACCUAUUUUUGUUGUUGUCGAUGCACAUCAGUCUUCAUAUUUUCAGUAGAGAAAGUUUUUUGUUGGAAACAAAUUCUUUUGCUGGUUCAUUGAUCUUGAAUUUAUUUAUAAUGAAAAGGCCUUUCAGCUGCACAUGCUUUUAUGCAAUUGAUAGUAUGUACUACUCAUAUUAAUCAAAUAGUAUAUAAGUUGAUGUACUCAUAUUAAUCAAAUAGUAUAUAAGUUGAUGUUCCUCUUGUGCUUGUAAGGAUUUCAACAUUUCAUAGUCAUGUUGGACACCAGCAUCAUCAUACCAACGAUGCUUGUUCCUCAAAUGGGAGGUGGAAAUGUGAGCCCUCAGCUCUUUAUUUGUGCGCUACCAAAUGAGGAGAAAGCUCGGGUAAUCUAGACGCUCCUGUUCGUCGUCGGCAUAAACACCUUACUGCAAACCUUCUUGGGGUCUCGUCUCCACGUCGUGAUGGGUGGCUCCAACACUUUCAUUGUGCCAACCAUCUCCAUCAUCUUGGCCGGAUGCUGAGGCAAUGAGGCAGAUCCUCACGAGGUACUUAUUACUGUCCAGCAGAAUUGCCUUCUCAAGUUCUCAUCAUGUACGAGUUCCUGUACGGAGGCUAACAAAUUUGUGUUGUUGUCAAGAAAAUUCCUACGGACGAUGAGGGGGACACAAAGCGCUCUCAUAAUCGCGAUGAUGAUUCAAAUCAUCCAUGGUUUCAGUGGUCUCUGGCGCAAUGUUGUCCCCCAUUAUCUGCGGGUCCUCUUGUUUCACUCAUUGGAUUUGGGCUUUAUGAACUUGGCUUUCCAGGCUUUCACCACCGUUGAGUUUCAUGUGAACAAUCUGUUUUGAUAUUUUUAUAUAACAAUAUCAUGCCUCAUUUUCCAUUUGAUUUAGUUAUUUCAACUUCAACUUUGAGUGUAUUAGUUAUGCACUGAAUAGAAAGUAUAUUACCUUAUCUGAGUUGUUGCUGCCACUGAGGUGUUAAAAGUGCAUAUUCAUAGCAUCUUCCUUGGCACGAUUAAUUGCCACCGGUUUACAUUCGUAUCUUUCAACAUUUAGUUCAGGAGCUUCAUGAAUUUUCCGUGUCCUGAAAUCAUAUAUAUUUUUUAACAUGAAUUUUGUCUCCACAAAGAACAGUGUGGUAAGCUCUAUAACAGUCAUUCAGACAUCAAAUUAUGAACUCUCAUAUUUGAUUGCUUGGAAAACAGUUCAAAGCAUAGCCAGGAAAUGCUGGCGACCGGAAUAUUGUGAUACUAUGGAUGCUAUCAAGCAUGCUUUUGGGGCCUUGCCGCAGAUCAUCUGCAAGAAGGGCUCAGUUCAAGAACUAAUUAAGGUUAAGCUUCACCAAUGAUUUGAAGGAUGCGCAUGACCACGGCUAGGAACCUCCAGAGUACAUCAUCUGCGGUGAGCAUAGAGCUUAUCCGCAUGACCACGGCUAGGAACCUCCAAACUAAUUUAAAAACCCAAUGAUCAGCCUCGGGUGGCUACAGAUGCUGCAGCCGGUUCAACCUAUGGCCAUCAUAAAGAACAGGAAGGACUUGUACACACCGCCGACUGAAUGUAGUGGAAAGAGCAUGUCCUGCAGGAGAUGGACAGCAAGGCCGCUGACAAGGUCUCUGAACGACGCGCUAGCGGUAGUGGCGGCGGCGACCAAGGCCGUUGGCGAGAAGAUCGCGAUGGAGGAGAAGUUUUAGAACUGGAAGAUGGAGAUUGUUAGGAGGAAGCACAACCACAUCUUGUCCCUGUUCAACCUACACAAGGUGUUGGUGGAGAAGCAGGGAAGCCGCUUGCUGAGAAGACCACGCAACAGAAGACCCCCACCACCGCCGGUGCCAUCUCUAGCACGAGCUGACCACAUCGGGCGUUAGUUGGAUCAUAGAAUGUAUCAUGUCAUCAGAUACAUAAAGUAUAUCAUCAGUUGCAUGUACAUUCAAGAGGCUCUCAUUGUUUGAAUGCAGCUGUGCUACACAAAUUGCUAAAAACAAAUCAGAAAGUGCGUGUGUGCCUACCUGGCACCGCACAACCACCUCUCAGGCGGCGCGCCACGGGCACGCCCCAACCACUAGUUACACACAAUCUGGUGCCAUUGGUAGGCAAAGCCGUCUCACGUUUAGGACCAAAUAUUGCAACAUAAGUCGAGGUAUAUGUGAGAUUGGUGACUCUAAGGUGGAGAUUACUGUUGCUUGGUCCCAGCUUAUCAAGAACAAGAUGGAAAUCCUCUAAGGACAUGUUUGAUUGUUCUUGUGGCUAUGGAGUAGAUCCGGCUUGAUCCCUACUCCAUCUUCGACCGGUACUUCCGCGAGAAGGACGACAAGGGCGUUGGGAAGUGCAAGGGCAGCCGUGGAUAAUCUUCACCACCAUAGCCAAACAUGCCAAAUUUUGAUAGUCCGAUGGCAUGUUAUAGUAGCUGGACGAUGUAACAUCGUUUACGUAGUUGCAUGGGUUUGCAUGAAUUUGAGAUAUGCUAAUUGAGGUGCCUGGUUGUGAGAUUGGAAA